rnacentral:rRNA from 1 species
GACGAACGCUGGCGGCAUGCCUAACACAUGCAAGUCUAGGGGUAGCAAUACCACUGGCGCACGGGUGAGUAACACGUAGGUUAUCUGCCCCCAUCACAGACAUAACCCCGGGAAACCGGGGCUAAUAUCUGAUGAGGUCGCGAGAUCAAAGCUUCGGCGGAUGGGGAUGAGCCUGCGGCUGAUUAGCUAGUUGGUGAGGUAAUGGCUCACCAAGGCGACGAUCAGUAGCUGGUCUGAGAGGACGAACAGCCACACUGGAACUGAGACACGGUCCAGACUCCUACGGGAGGCAGCAGUGAGGAAUAUUGGUCAAUGGGAGCAAUCCUGAACCAGCAAUGCCGCGUGUGGGAUGACAGGGCUUCGCCUUGUAAACCACUGUCGGACGGGACGAAAGGAGGCCUCGGGCCUCUGGGACGGUACCGUCAAAGGAAGGGUCGGCUAACUACGUGCCAGCAGCCACGGUAAU